GAGCAAGGCUGUGUCCAGAGAGAAAGAAAGUGAGAGAGAGAGAGUGAGAAGAAAACUAGCGUUCAGUAAGAAGUUACAGCAUAGCAGGCAUUUCCAUAUUCUUGAUCUCAGAACAAUCCUUUUUAUAGGAGGAGGAAUCUCUGAGGCUAAGUGAUUUUCCAAAAGGAAUAUAGCUAGUAAAUGGUUAUGCUAGAAUUUUAACUCAGGUCUGCCUACUUAUAAAACUCAAGUUUUAAUUAAUAUCUUAUUCUUACAUUUACAUGAUCCUUCAUUUAUUCAUUCAUUCAUUCGACCAUACCAGGAAAUGGGGUUCCAGCGGCAACCUAAGUAGGCACCAGCCAACCCUAUUGAAGCUUACUGUUUUGUAGAAGAGAGAGCCAAAAUCAAAUAAACAAAUAUAUGUCAUUAUUAAUUAUGGUAUAUUCUAUAAAGGAAACCAGUAGGAUGUUUGGAGAAAGAAUGAAAAGAUAUUGUAAAUGGGGCUUACUUUAGACAGAGGGAUCAGAUGUGUCAUCUUCGAGGAGGUGAGAUCAACGCUGAAAGCUGAAGGAUAAAAAUGAAUCAGUCCUGCAAUGAUCAGGGAGAAGAACAUGAAUAUUCUACUUCUUCAGCAAAAACAGAUUUCAUUUCAUCUAGAAUUCAUGGACCAUAAGGGCUCCCGAAGAAAAGUCAGAAGCAACAUUGCUUAGUAUAUGGCAGAGAUCAAACUAUGGCCGAGGACUAGCUUGGGACUGCCUGUGCUUCUCAUUCCUGUCUGAGGAAAGGUGGGGAGGGCUCAGAAGUGCACAGAGAGAAGGUGUUCGAUAUUGUAUAAUGUUUGACCUGCAGCCAUCUGUUCACUCAACUUAUGCAUUUACUUUUGUUCAAGCAACAAAUAUCUCUGGCUUCCCUACUAUGCCAGACACUCUCCUAUAUACAGAGGUGGAGAAAAUAAACUCUGUUCUCAUGGAGUUAACAGUGUGAAGGGAGAGAAACAACAAGGAAUAAAUGAAUAAAUAAAAUGCAUUUGUGGCAAAUGCUAUGAAAGGAAAAAUAGUACCUUGUGAAAUGAAGCUCUUCGAUGAAAACUUCUAAUGCAGGGGUGGAUGGUACUGGCAUGUAAUCCCCACAUUUUUUUUUUUUUUUUUGGUUGAGAACAAUAUUUCCACCACUCAGCGACAACCCUGAACUCCAACAAACCCUGUAGAAACAAAACAAGAAGAGGGCAAAAUCAAGUUUGUCACAGGGAUACACAUAGACGUCUCACAGCGGGAAUUUAAAACCCUGGUUUCUCAGGGGACUGUCUUUAUAUUCACCACCAGAGCACCUGAUGGGGUAAAACAAAGUAGGUGAUAACUAUCAUGGAUUUGGCACAACUGGGGACAGUGAUAGAGUCUGCACUUGUCAACAAGAUAGACAAGAAAACUGGGCACGAUUUUGACCAAAGAGAGCUAAGAAGGGCGAGUUACAGGGAUCAGAAAAACAGGGUAAUGAUGACCAAGUGCACGUGUCUGUAAUGUUUUCUUAUUCCCUGGUAACCUUAUGACAUAGUUCUAAUUCAACCACAAAUAUAACAGAGGAGCAUGAGCCUAUAAUAUGUCACGUAUUUUAUUAUGUUUUAUUAUAUGCCACAUUAAGUCUGUAUUUGUGGCCAAAAACAUAAAAUAGCACUGCUUUUAGACACAGCAAGAUUAUAUACUCCUACAGGAAAAGAGCUUUGGAAAGUUCAUCUAAUCUUCUUUGUUUUCCAAUUUGAAGCAGAGAUGAAUAACUGAAAGCUUUCAAUGUGGACAUCAGUGAGGACAUUUCUCCAGGACCUUUGCCUGAAAGACUUACCUGGGAUUCCUAGAGUUUUAAUUAUUCAUUCUUAGUAGGCCAUAGGGGUCAGCCUGUAUAGAGAAUCUGAAAACCAGAACAAGAUUAGAAGGUGGUAUCAGACUACUGUAUAUAGCAGAGUUUCCACAGUCAAACAUAAGGCUUGAAAUCCAAGCUUAACUAAUUGCUAUGUGAACUUUGGCCAAUUACUCAAGCACUAUAUUAGUCAGGACCUAACUGGGAUUCAGAUGCCACAUGAAUAUUUAAGCAGAAUGACUUUAAUGCAGAAUUUGCACAGGUGAUGAACCAGCUUAGAAGCCUAAUAGAAGAUAGCAAUUCUGACAUUAGCAAUAGCACGAGCCACCACUCCCUUAGACCAGAGGGAAAAGAGGGAGGGAGUGGUGAUGCUACAGCUAGAAGACUAGGAUUAUUUCAGAAGCUGGCUCCAUGGCAGGUCUCAUUGUCAGAAGCUGAAACCAAAGAAGAGAUGUAGACGCUGCAAGGGACACAGACAGAAACAAGGGGGUAGAAAGAUCUGCCUCCCUUCUAUUGGCUACCCCAAUCUCUCUUCAGUGUCUGCAAAUGACCAAAUCAAGCCAGAAAUUCACUGACACAGAAGCCUGGAGAACACAGGCUGAAGGUGUCAGCUGUCCUGCAAUAUAGAGCUCAGCUCAAUGUGGGCACGUGAUCCUGAGGUUGUUAUUCUUAAAACCGUCAUUGUCAAGAAAUAUUUAAAAUGUAGUCAGUGGUAUGCUGAUAAAUGUAUAACAAUUGACUUUCCUUGGGGAGAGCCCUGACUUGCGUAGCUGGUUCCUAUGGUGUGGAUACUUUCAUCAUGUCUAAUUUCCAACUGCCUAUGUGAAGGCACUGAACAUGGCACUGUGAAGAUUGGCUCAUACACGUGGGUAUAAGUUGGCUCUAGAACAACACUGAAAGUAGGCAUAUAAAGAAAAUAGCAGAAAUACUCUACAGAUCCAGUAGAAAAAAAAAAUGCCACUACUAGUGGUUGAAAAUUGCAGGGAAAUAGGGUUUGGGGCUCUCUUUAACAAAAACUACUAAAAUUUGGACUAUCCCCUUGUGAGUCCAUAUAUUCUUCACAAUUGGGGCCACAUUCACUAGAUACCUGGUAAUUCUUUACAGAUAUUUUUUACAAACUCUGUAUUGCACAGCCUUGAUGGUUCAUGUGUUUGCUAUCCAGAGAGGAAUCCCAAACUUCUAUAUUGUUUUGGAGCCAGGUUGUAAUCCCUUGUCUAUAUAACUUUUCCUGACAUUGGAGAGGUGACUCUCAAUAGGAAUUGUUUUGCAUCUCAUUUUUGAUGCUAUCUUGAUGCUUCCUCUUUUCCUUCCUUCAGUUUAUAUCAGACUGUUUCUCCCCGCAUGUCUCAUUACCUUUGUCAUCUUGUCAUUGAACAAAGCAAGGGGAAACUAACAUAGCUCUUCAGAGUGCUUAUGCUUGGGUUUCUGAUUUCUGACUCUAUGGUUAUGUGAAAGCCCUACAGCCAUCAAUAGACUAGUCAAUUCUUCUAAGGAGCAAUCCACAGACUUGUUGAAUUACUAUUGCUUUCGACAAUUUAGGAGGCAAUCUCUUGGGCACACAUCAAUCCUUGUACCUUAGUGUGGGAUUGGCAAGUCUGAAAACAUGCUAGAGAAUGCACACCUGGUAUCUGGAAAUACAAAUAUUCUAAUAUAUGGUCAAAUUUAUAUGAGUAAAAUAUCCUUAGCAAAAUGUGUCUCUUUUAUUUUCUCUGUUUUACAUAUUGUGUUGGAAUCAAUCAAGAGUUAGCCCAUUUAU
rnacentral:lncRNA from 1 species